GACGAACGCUGGCGGCGUGCUUAACACAUGCAAGUCGAACGGAAAGGCCCUGCUUUUGUGGGGUGCUCGAGUGGCGAACGGGUGAGUAACACGUGAGUAACCUGCCCUUUACUUUGGGAUAACUUCAGGAAACUGGGGCUAAUACCGGAUAGGAGCUCCUGCUGCAUGGUGGGGGUUGGAACGUUUCGGCGGUUGGGGAUGGACUGGGGGCUUAUCAGCUUGUUGGGGGGUAGUGGCUUACCAAGGCUUUGAGGGGUAGGCCGCCUGGGAGGGUCAGCGGCGACAUUGGGACUGAGAUACGGCCCAGACGCCUACGGGAGGCAGCAGUGGGGAAUAUUGCACAAUGGGCGGAAGCCUGAUGCAGCAACGCCGCGUGCGGGAUGACGGCCUUCGGGUUGGAAACCGCUUUCGCCUGUGACGAAGCGUGAGUGACGGUAAUGGGUAAAGAAGCACCGGCUAACUACGUG
rnacentral:rRNA from 1 species